UCUCCUCAGAUGAGGAUUUAAAAUAAAAUACAAGUAAAUAAAUCUUAAAAAACUGUCACUUUAAACUAUAUGCAUGUAUGAUUUUGUUAAAAAUAAAAACGAAAUAGCAAAAAAGAAAACUAAGGAAAUGAAGAAAAGCCAAGGCAGUUAUCUCCAGGGUAAACGGCAGCUUAUGGGAAACGUCAGCGCCGUGCAUGGGCUCACACUGAACGAUAUUUGUAUUUUAGUGCAAAACGCAGAGACCAACUUCACACUGACGAGAGACAGAGACGGCAGUGCGAGGGGAAGGUGCCUGGUCCCCAUGUCUCAGUGGUUUGUCCCUGGAUAACAUCUAAUACAACAAAUCAAGAAAGCAAGACAGCCGUGGCUCAGGCACAUGGAGCCCCCCUCUUCCUGUUCAGCUGUCCCCACCCCCACGACCUGGUGGAGGUAGGGAGUUGGACGUGGGCCGACCUGGUGCCUCGGGAGCCUGACUGGGAGCAGCUGCUGACCACGGACUGGGUGCCAUGGUGAGUGCUGAAAACAGGUCCUUACUACAGGCCACCCUACCGAGUCACUCGGGUGGUGUGUGUCCCUGUCUCUGCUAUGAAGCCUCUCCACUCCCACUUCUGAUUUCAGUCUCUCAGAUUACAAGUAUGAGGUAGACAAGGGAACAUUCUCAAUUAGAGAGGGAAAUUUCCCCUUGUUUUCUGUAUAAUGAAGUCACGUCUGUUCGUGUGGUGCUGUGAUGACAAGGAGGUCCUACGAAUCUGUCUCAGUAUCGGGGCCUUGCGAACGCUGCCCUGGCAGGUAAGGCACAGGCCCCCUGAGCACAGGCCCUAGGGGCUGCUGUUGGUCCUGCCUGGCACCCAGCCUCCUUGCUUUUAACCGGGUACAGUGCAGUGUGGGUACUUUUUAUUCCAUCGCUAAGCUCACUACCCAUUUGUAGCAGCACAUACACAAUGACGAAAUUCAGACGUGCUGGGAUAGAUAUUCAACAGAGUAACGUCCUGUCAAUGGAAAAUAAGUGUGUGUUUCACAGGCCUUGGCCCGGCCGGUCGCUCUGACCUGGCUGUGUGGCUGCCCGGCGGGGGCACUGAAGGACUGGAGCUUUUAUGCCUCCCUUUCCUCCUUUGGAAAAGGCAAGUAGAGGCAACUUGCUUUCCUACUUCCCAGUGAAGUGCUGCCCAGGACGGCUUAGCUUGUGGACUACUGUACUGAACCCAGAAGAAGCGAGGAUGGACCAAGUCUGGUGAAAGAGCAGCAUGUCGCCGAGGAGAAAGGGGAUAGUCACUGCAGUCUCAGCCACUUCUGAGAGGCACACAUAUGGGAGGGAGGGAUUCAUUACCAGGUAGCCUGCGGCCACCACUGCAAUGAGAAGACAGAGAAGACGGUAGGCCGUGGGGUGGAAAGACAUCAAUCUUUAUAAAUACAGUAAAACAUUCAUCUGUGUCAGUAUUCACAUUAGAAAAAUAUGCAUUACUUGAAAUAGAACCUCUGAAUAAAAUAAAUAAAUCUAG